rnacentral:ncRNA from 1 species
CUCAGAAAAGGGCAAACUUACUGAAAAGUAUGGACGCAAAAUCACAGGUCUAAAGCUAAUUAGCUACGGCGGCUGGGUUACCCAG